UUUGAAAUAAUAUUUUUAUUAUAAAAUAUGAAAUAUAAAGUUUAAUGUUUGAUUUAUAUUUUUAAAAAUAUAAUUAAUAAUUUAUUAUGUUGGUUUUGAUUUAAUAUUUAUAAAAAAUAUCUAUAAAAACACUAUGCCCGCAUGUGCGGGCAGAACACCUAGUUUUAAAGUAUUAUGCAAUUGGUACUCACCAGACAUCAGCUAGAUAGAGACUCCGCAAAUGUUCAUUUUCUUUAUAAAAUUUUUGAUGUUUUUUAAUAGAAAAGUUUGAUGUUUAAUAUUCUCAAAAUAGUUACUAAAAUUUGCUUACACCAGUUUUAUCUAAAUAUUUUUAAGUAAUAUUUGAAAUUUAUGUUUAUUGGAGUUUAGUGCUUGGAUCUAUUUUGUUUUUUUUUUCUGAUCUUGAUCUCUUAUGCCAUCAAACAGCGUCGAAGAGAAGAUCUGCUUCAAAUCGAAGUGUUCGGCGUGGAUUUCUUUCUUUUGACUCUCUUGAGUUCAUGGGUUUUGGUUACGGAUUGUGCAGAGUAGCGGAGGGUGGUCUUCACAGCUCGUUUUGAGGUGUAAUGGGACGAACGGUCCUUCCUGUCUUUGUUUAUGUAUUUCACUGAAGGUCAUUCUACUCGGUGGCACAUGCAUGGUUUAUGUUCUAUUGUGUGGCUGUGUCUGGUUCUUGGUCUCCGCGCAAGAAGGUUCUUUGGAGUUUCCAAAGCGCUAAGUCAUCUAUAGCUUUGGUGUUCGAUGAUUCUUCGUCCUUCUUCGCUAUCUUCCUUAUAUACCAGUGGUUCAUUGGUUUAUCAUCCUUUUUGAAGUUUUGUAGAGUCCUUCGGUUCUCAAAGACAUGCAUAUGGCGGCUACAUUUGGUUGGUCGGGUGUUCUCCAACUCGGGAUGCUCAUCGAUGACUCCAUAUGCUAGGAGUAACUCAUCCUUAUGCUGGUGUAGUCUGUUGGUCUAUCUUGUUGGGGUACGUCCUUUCCUUAUUUGUGCAGGUUGAGAGCAUUUUAGGCAAUGAGGCAGCUGCCAUCCAAACCCGUUUUUUUUUGGUUGGUGAUAAAUUCAAAAUUUUAUUGAUGGUUGAAGAUGUAACAGGUAGGAGAAAGCGGAUAACUGAUCCAACCAUUGAAAUGGAAGUCGGAUCCAUAGUAAUGAUAAAACGACUUGGUUGUGUGUCUUUCGUUCGUGUUGGGUUCAAAAUUGGAAAGUGACCCGUCUAUGUGUCCGGCGAAAAUGUACAUGUAGUAAAGUCGUACGGAUUUUAUUCGA